rnacentral:snRNA from 1 species
AUCGUUUCUUGGCCUUUUGGCUAAGAUCAAGUGUAGUAACUGUGAAGAGUUUAAUGAAAUAACUCCUU